rnacentral:rRNA from 1 species
UUGAGUAGUAUUAGUUAUUAUCUUAAAACUUAAAAAUUUUGGCGGUAUUUUAUUCUUUUCAGAGGAACUUGUUUUAUAAUCGAUAAUCCUCGGUAUAUCUUACUUAAAUUUGUUUAAUUUGUAUAUCAUUGUCAUAAGAAAAUCUUAAAAAAGUAAUAAUUUUCUGAUUUAAAAUUUAUUUUUUAUGUCAGAUCAAGGUGCAGUUUAUAUUUAAGUAAAAAUGAGUUACAAUUAAAUAAUUAAUAUGAAUUUUAAUUUUAAAUAGUUAAAUAAAGGUGGAUUUGAAAGUAAAUUUAAAAAAUAAAAGUAAAUUGAUAAUAGUUUUAAAAUAUGU